rnacentral:miRNA from 1 species
GUGGGCGGUGCGUGGCGGUG